ensembl:lncRNA
AAAUAAAUCAAUAUUGAUUUUUUUUUUAUCGAGCGUUAAAGUUUUGCGAAGCCAGGGGGCGGGACUACUUCAUUGACAGUCCGGUCUGGAAUGAUUGACAGGUCCUAUGGAGGAGGCAGCAGAGACUCUGCUCUCCUUGUUUGGAUUAAUUCUGAUAUAAUAACUGUUGGUUUAUUUAUCGGUGGAGCAGCAGAACAUUUUCCACAGACAGUUUUCCUGCCUGUUGGCUUGUUUUAACCAGUUUUCUACCUUCGGCUGAUUCUACCAGCAGACACUGAAAGGACUCUGAUAGUUCGAGUGAAAGUAGCAGUUCCUCCUUAAGGUCAGAGAUUGCAACAUCUGAGGGCCUCUUCAAAAGAAGACGUAGUUGAUGAAGGCGUUCUGGAGCAGGACCAGAAAGACCACGACCAAGCAGCCUUGGAAUCUUAGGCAGCAUCUCCCUCAGCUUCAGCUCCAGAGACGGCAGGCGGGACGAGUCAACGGAGGCCGGGUGGACGAAGGCAUGCAGCUGAGUACAAUCCAGAAAACAACAGAGGAGGAGUGCAGCAGCCAGAACAACCAGAGUAGCAUCGUAUGUCUCUUAGAAAACAUCAUAGUAUAGCCUUUGGUAUGAAAAAACGCCAUCAUAUACAUCGUAUAUUGUACAAACAACAAGUCAAAGGAAAGAGACAUACAUUGUAGAAUUGUAGUAAUUGUGG